UAGUAAUUCGAAGAACGAGUUAUAACUGGAGGGAACGAGAUACUAACUGGAGGGAAAGAGAUACUAACACGAGGGAAGAAGUUACUAACCGGAGAGAACGAAUUAGUAACUGGAAGGAACGAGUUACUAACUCGAGGGAACGAGUUAGUAACUGGAGGGAACGAGACACUAACUCGAGGGAACGAGUUAGUAACUGGAGGGAAGAAGUUACUAACCGGAGAGAACGAGUUAGUAAAUGAAGGAACGAGUUACUAACUCGAGGAACGAGUUCGUAACUGGAGGGAACGAGACACUAACUCGAGGGAAAAGUUACUAACCGGAGGGAACGAGUUAGAUACUAACUCGAGGGAACGAGAUUACUAACUGGAGGGAACGAGUUAGUAUCUCGAGGGAACGAGUUACUAUAAUAUACUUUAAUCUGCAACAAUGCAUAUUCUUUUAUAAAUUGGACAAAGUUUUGGAUGAAAUCUUAAUUUUCAAAGUAACCAUACAGCAAUAAAAAAAAUGUAGUGGAGUAAAAAACUGCAAAAUUGUCUUUUACAAUAUUUAAAA